rnacentral:tRNA from 1 species
GCCGAAGUGGCGGAAUUGGCAGACGCGCAGGAUUCAGAAUCCUGUGGGCGCAAGCUCGUGGGGGUUCAAGUCCCCCCUUCGGCA